UGCCUACAUUGUGGUGAUUCUUAAAAUGAAAUAAAAACAUAAAAAAUUAUUAACCCAAUGCAUAUUUUUUGCGUCCUCAAUAUCGCUGCCAAGCCAUCUGGUCGACCUUGCCGCAGGAGCCACCAGGUGAAGCUCCACUGGUGCGAAGCUCAGCGGGACGAAUCCGGGGCGUGCAAGGGCGCAGGCGUUCAGCCGCCGCCCUAACUCCUGAGGUCGACCCAGACCGCCAUCCAUCGCGUUGCUCGGUCCGGGGUGUCCGCUCGCGGGUCCAGAGACCGUUCCCAGGACCAGAGAGAGAGCUUAUUCUUGGGGGAGCCUCAGACUACCGCUCACAGCCAAGAUUGGGCCCGGGCUCGGGGCUCCUCCCGACCACCAACGGACGGUCCAGGCUGCACCCCAUUUCCCAAACGUUUGCUAGGGGCUCCGACAACUGAGACCAAAGUGGGAUGGCCGCCGUGCCCUGAGCGUCCUCCCCACUCGCCCGCGACACUCCGUGUCAUUCCACGCGGUGAGAGAACCUGGGUGUGCUGUCGACACAGAAGCGCUGCGACGAGGUGAACAGGAGACAGGACGCCGGGCGCUGCCAGUGUAGACUCAUCCUGACCUGCAGGGGAAUCACAUCUACGGAGCCCCGUGACCGCUUCGCGUGGAACCUGGAGAAAUGAAAAUGGCUGCCGGGGAGCAGGCCCAAUGCCGCCACGCCACCUGGACGGACCCGGGCCCCCAAGGCGGCGAGGACGCACCGCCGGACUGCCUGUAGGUCGGGGCGUCAUUGUCCCGUGGGAAGGAGGAAGGGGAGGCCCGCGGUCGCCCUCCCAGUGACUCCUCGUUUCGCCAUCCGGCCAGGGCCCCAUUCCGGCGAGAGACGUAAAAAAUUGGUGAAUAAAUUCGGGAUACAGCGUGGAGACCUUGGAAGGCCAGGCGCCGUCCGAGUACAUCCGUGUCGUUGCCCACCUCCUAAUGACUAGGAAAAUUGAGAAAGUACGACCACCAGGACGUGAAGGACGACGUCGGGCAUGCACACUGUGUCCUAUCACCACGCUCAGUCUUGCGGGCAGAGGGGCACCAGGGCAUGCUGGUAGACCCAGCAGGACCACACCAAACACAGCCCGAAGCGCAAGGCCGUCCUCACACCACAUGAAUCUGCUCGGCCAAUCUCCGGCUACAGCAGGAAGCGCCCACGCCUUGGCACCACCGGGACAGUCGCCGCCAGCAUCACGGCCUCCAGGAACUCUGCCUCGCGCCUGGCGGCCGAGUCACAGCCCUCGCCAAAGUCGCCGAAGCUCCGGAGGGAAGGGACGAUCUCAAAGCGGCCGCUAUGUAGCGACCGGCAACCGCUGGAACGUACCCGGUACGGAUCCCGAUCUCCGGCCGGCAAGGGUGCAGCGCGGGCCGCCCAAACGCCCGAGCUAGUCACGGGGCAUCCGCCUCGGAGCUAGCUCCCGGCUCAACAUGGAAGGUGACCUUAAAAAGCAUUAAAUGAUACCCACACAGCAUGCGUUCAGGAAGGACCCAUUUAUCUGCAGGUCAACGGACACUCAAAUGAAGAGAAACCCUAGACCUGUACUCAUGGUGGAAGAGCCUUCA